GCUUUUCCAGACUUGAUGUUCCUUGUUGGAUAUAAGGUUGCAUGUUUGCAAUAAUUUCUUACAUUCUUCAGAUGACUCUAAGAGAAUGGUGUCAGAUACAUCUUCUUGCAUCUGGUGAGUGGACUCAGAGGAAGACAGAGAUGAAGAUGACUGGACUUUUGAACAAGAGUUUGAAAUUUGACAACACUAAUAAAAUUCAUCUGGAUGCAAAGUAAGAAAAGUGCAAAAGAGAACAGGGCA